rnacentral:lncRNA from 10 species
AAAAAAAAAAAAAAAUUGAGCUUGCUGUACUAAUAGCAAGCAUUUAUGGAGUACUUUACAUGGAUUGGUGAAUGUUCUAAGUACAUUGUGUUAACUCUAUGCUAUGGUCUGAAUGUUUGUGUCCCCUGCCAAAAUUUACAUGUUGAAAGUCUAACCCCCAAGGUGUUAAUAUUAAAUAUUAGGAGGUAGGUGGGGCCUUUGGGAGGUGAAUUAGAUCGUGACAGGGGAGCCCACAUUCAUGGGAUUAGUGCCCUAAUAAAAGUGGCCUCAGAGGGCUAGCUUGCCACUUCCACCACAUGAGGACACAGUGAGAAGAUCCACCUACGACCUCAGGUCCUCAGACCGACCAACCCAAGAAACAUCUCACCAAUUUCAAAUCCGGUGAGCGGCCUCUUUUUACU